AUGUCACGAGAUAUAUUUUCCUCUCGGCAUGAGGGAAGUAGCAGAGUCAUAGAUGUUGGCAUGCAAACUGUGUUCCUCCGCAUUUUGGAAGAACUAGCCGAACGCCACACGGAAGAACUUCCUGAUGAAGCAAAUGUUAGCUUCAUCAUGGCAACCUAUAUGGAGGUUGAUCAAGACUCUAGUGACUCCCUUCUUAAAAGGUGUGCAUCAACAAGUUCUAUAAAUGACUUGUCCUUCCGUGAUCUUAUCAAGAAUGUUGUGUUUAUUUGGAAGGGUGUGUGCAAACCGAGCAACGAGGUUAACUCCAUUGAAUUUUCUGCUCCCAAGAAGCUCAAGACUGAAUAUGGUUUUGGGUGCAGCUUCCUCGGUGAAGCACAUUUUCAACUAUUUAAGGGGCGGUGA
rnacentral:rRNA from 1 species